UGGGCGGAUUAGUGGCGAACGGGUGAGUAAUACGUGAGUAACCUGCCCUUGACUCUGGGAUAAGCCUGGGAAACUGGGUCUAAUACUGGAUACUACCUCUUACCGCAUGGUGGGUGGUGGAAAGGGUUUUACUGGUUUUGGAUGGGCUCACGGCCUAUCAGCUUGUUGGUGGGGUAAUGGCUCACCAAGGCGACGACGGGUAGCCGGCCUGAGAGGGUGACCGGCCACACUGGGACUGAGACACGGCCCAGACUCCUACGGGAGGCAGCAGUGGGGAAUAUUGCACAAUGGGCGGAAGCCUGAUGCAGCGACGCCGCGUGAGGGAUGACGGCCUUCGGGUUGUAAACCUCUUUCAGUAGGGAAGAAGCGAGAGUGACGGUACCUGCAGAAGAAGCGCCGGCUAACUACGUGCCAGCAGCCGCGGUAAUACGUAGGGCGCAAGCGUUGUCCGGAAUUAUUGGGCGUAAAGAGCUCGUAGGCGGUUUGUCGCGUCUGCUGUGAAAGCCCGGGGCUCAACCCCGGGUCUGCAGUGGGUACGGGCAGACUAGAGUGCAGUAGGGGAGACUGGAAUUCCUGGUGUAGCGGGAAAAUGCGCA
rnacentral:rRNA from 1 species